rnacentral:rRNA from 1 species
GAACGGUUCACGUUCAAACAGGACGGGAGCCUGACGGUACCUCCAAAGGAAGCACCGGCUAACUCCGUGCCAGCAGCCGCGGUAAUACGGAGGGUGCAAGCGUUGUUCGGAAUCAUUGGGCGUAAAGCGCGUGUAGGCGGCUUGGCAAGUCAGUUGUGAAAGCCCGGGGCCCAACCCCGGAACUGCAUCUGAAACUGCUUGGCUAGAGUCCCGGAGAGGAAGGCAGAAUUCCCGGUGUAGGGGUGAAAUCCGUAGAUAUCGGGAGGAAUACCAGCGGCGAAGGCGGCCUUCUGGACGGUGACUGACGCUGAGACGCGAAAGCGUGGGGAGCAAACAGGGUUAGAUACCCUGGUAGUCCACGCCGUAAACGUUGAGUGCUAGGUGUCGCGGGUAUUGACCCCUGCGGUGCCGUCGUUAACGCAUUUAGCACUCCGCCUGGGGAGUACGGUCGCAAGGCUA